GGCCGAGUAGGCGGCGAACUGUAGACUCGCCCACGGCGUACAGAUGCCCCUCCUGCCAA
rnacentral:tRNA from 1 species